rnacentral:rRNA from 1 species
GAUGAACGCUGGCGGCGUGCCUAAUACAUGCAAGUCGAGCGAACAGAUAAGGAGCUUGCUCCUCUGACGUUAGCGGCGGACGGGUGAGUAACACGUGGAUAACCUACCUCUAAGACUGGGAUAACUUCGGGAAACCGGAGCUAAUACCGGAUAAUAUAUUGAACCGCAUGGUUCAAUAGUGAAAGACGGUUUUGCUGUCACUUAUAGAUGGAUCCGCGCCGCAUUAGCUAGUUGGUAAGGUAACGGCUUACCAAGGCAACGAUGCGUAGCCGACCUGAGAGGGUGAUCGGCCACACUGGAACUGAGACACGGUCCAGACUCCUACGGGAGGCAGCAGUAGGGAAUCUUCCGCAAUGGGCGAAAGCUUGACGGAGCAACGCCGCGUGAGUGAUGAAGGUCUUCGGAUCGUAAAACUCUGUUAUUAGGGAAGAACAAAUGUGUAAGUAACUAUGCACGUCUUGACGGUACCUAAUCAGAAAGCCACGGCUAACUACGUG